AUUGAACGCUGGCGGCAGGCCUAACACAUGCAAGUCGAGCGGAUGAAGGGAGCUUGCUCCUGGAUUCAGCGGCGGACGGGUGAGUAAUGCCUAGGAAUCUGCCUGGUAGUGGGGGAUAACGUCCGGAAACGGGCGCUAAUACCGCAUCCGUCCUGAGGGAGAAAGUGGGGGAUCUUCGGACCUCACGCUAUCAGAUGAGCCUAGGUCGGAUUAGCUAGUUGGUGGGGUAAAGGCCUACCAAGGCGACGAUCCGUAACUGGUCUGAGAGGAUGAUCAGUCACACUGGAACUGAGACACGGUCCAGACUCCUACGGGAAGCAGCAGUGGGGAAUAUUGGACAAUGGGCGAAAGCCUGAUCCAGCCAUGCCGCGUGUGUGAAGAAGGUCUUCGGAUUGUAAAGCACUUUAAGUUGGGAGGAAGGGCAGUAAGUUAAUACCUUGCUGUUUUGACGUUACCAACAGAAUAAGCACCGGCUAACUUCGUG
rnacentral:rRNA from 1 species